rnacentral:rRNA from 1 species
ACACAUGCAAGUCGAACGAGAGAGAGGGAGCUUGCUUCCUUGAUCGAGUGGCGAACGGGUGAGUAACGCGUGAGGAACCUGCCUCAAAGAGGGGGACAACAGUUGGAAACGACUGCUAAUACCGCAUAAGCCCACGGCUCGGCAUCGAGCAGAGGGAAAAGGAGCAAUCCGCUUUGAGAUGGCCUCGCGUCCGAUUAGCUAGUUGGUGAGGUAAUGGCCCACCAAGGCGACGAUCGGUAGCCGGACUGAGAGGUUGAACGGCCACAUUGGGACUGAGACACGGCCCAGACUCCUACGGGAGGCAGCAGUGGGGAAUAUUGCACAAUGGGGGAAACCCUGAUGCAGCGACGCCGCGUGGAGGAAGAAGGUCUUCGGAUUGUAAACUCCUGUUGUUGAGGAAGAUAAUGACGGUACUCAACAAGGAAGUGACGGCUAACUACGUGCCAGCAGCCGCGGUAAAACGUAGGUCACAAGCGUUGUCCGGAAUUACUGGGUGUAAAGGGAGCGCAGGCGGGCGAUCAAGUUGGAAGUGAAAUCCAUGGGCUCAACCCAUGAACUGCUUUCAAAACUGAUUGUCUUGAGUAGUGCAGAGGUAGGCGGAAUUCCCGGUGUAGCGGUGGAAUGCGUAGAUAUCGGGAGGAACACCAGUGGCGAAGGCGGCCUACUGGGCACCAACUGACGCUGAGGCUCGAAAGUGUGGGUAGCAAACAGGAUUAGAUACCCUGGUAGUCCACACCGUAAACGAUGAUUACUAGGUGUUGGAGGAUUGACCCCUUCAGUGCCGCAGUUAACACAAUAAGUAAUCCACCUGGGG